ACAAAAAGGAACCCAUUCAAUUUGAAACUAUAAAAUACAUCAAGUUUCUUAUUAUGACUCCACAACCAUCAACACUAAUACACCUACCAUUACAACCAUUGAGCUGAAACAUAACAUCACUAACAUUCCUACACCGUCAAUAUACAACUUGCAAAACCACCAACAUACCAACUACAUAUUGAAAAACCCACAACAACCUAUUCAUUUUUCCAACAAUUUCCAAUUCUUUAUUUGUAAUUUUAGUAAUAAAAAAUCCU
rnacentral:lncRNA from 1 species